rnacentral:rRNA from 1 species
UACGUAGGGUGCGAGCGUUGUCCGGAAUUACUGGGCGUAAAGAGCUCGUAGGUGGUUUGUCGCGUUGUCCGUGAAAACUCACAACUCAAUUGUGGGCGUGCGGGCGAUACGGGCAGACUGGAGUACUGCAGGGGAGACUGGAAUUCCUGGUGUAGCGGUGAAAUGCGCAGAUAUCAGGAGGAACACCGGUGGCGAAAGCGACUCUCUGGGCCGUUCCUGACGCUGAGACGCGAAAGCUAGGGGAGCGAACAGG